rnacentral:lncRNA from 1 species
GAGGAUGUUUGAGAAACAGAGAUUUGGGGAUUUAGGGAUCCGAAUUGAGUAGGAUCGGGUUAGUGGGCUAGGAUAGUGUGUGGUUGGGUUAGUAAAUAAGUAGAACUUUCUAGGCUUCAUGGUCUUUUCCUCCUAUUUUUGAUUUAAUUUUAAUUCAUUUUUAAAAUAAAAAGGCAAGAGGUCCAUAUGAGAUUAUUUUGACCCCUUGUGGUCCAUUACAGCAUUUGUUCCAAUGGUAAAGAAAAGAAUCCUUUUAUUCUUACGGACUUUAAUCUACUAUGGGACAAAAGAAUGAAAAAAAAUCUGGCACCACCUAAAGUAAUCUCCCAUAAAACAAGGGAGUGGUUAAUGACAAUUUUCCCCAUUAAUUGAGUAGGAUCGGGUUAGUGGGCUAGGAUAGUGUGUGGUUGGGUUAGUAAAUAAGUAGAACUUUCUAGGCUUCAUGGUCUUUUCCUCCUAUUUUUGAUUUAAUUUUAAUUCAUUUUUAAAAUAAAAAGGCAAGAGG